CCGCCACCCCUCCGCUGCGGAAGAGCGCUUCCCGCCGGCCAAGUGCGGUGGCGCGGAGGUGGGCGCAGUGCCACCGCCCGGCACGGCCGGAGGUGGGCGGUCGUACGGAGCCAGAGGCGGAGCGUGUUGUUCUUCCGAUGUACAGCCGGGGCUGGCGGCUGAAGAGCGGGAGGCUUCACCAUGACCGCAGCAAUGAGGGAGUGGUUUGACCGAUUCCUGCACGAGAAGAACCGCAUGACCGCCGUGCUCGAGCAUAUCGAGAGCAAGACCGGCGUCAACCGCGCCAUUAUUGCCCUCGCCGUCGUCGGGGCGGUGGCCGUGUACCUGGUGGUGGGCUACGGCGCGUCCCUGCUCUGCAAUAUCAUCGGUUUUGGCUACCCCGCCUACGUGUCAAUCAAGGCAAUUGAAAGCCCCAACAAAGAUGAUGACACACAGUGGCUGACUUACUGGGUUGUAUAUGGUGUUUUCAGCGUAGUGGAAUUCUUUUCUGAUAUCUUUCUGUUCUGGUUCCCUUUCUACUACAUGAUAAAGUGUGGGUUCCUGUUGUGGUGCAUGGCUCCAAGUGCUUCCAACGGGGCAGAGUUUCUUUAUCAUCGAAUUAUCCGGCCUUUCUUCCUGAAGCAUGAAGCUCAGCUUGACAGCGUUGUUAAAGACCUGAAAGACAAGGCUGCAGAGACUGCAAAUACCAUCACUAAGGAAGGUAUUUGGAAGACCUUUGGAAGUAUAGAAGAGCUGCCAAUUGUGUAGUAAAGCAAAUCCUUUAACUCCAAUAAACAGCAACAUGGGAAAUGAAGUUUUCCCAUCUCCAAGAAGGCGACAGUGAACUUACUGGGUGAAGAAAAGAAGAGCACUUAAGCUAUUAACUGGAUAAAACUUCCCUACCACCUCCUUUAUGAAGCUUGAUGUUACUGGGAACUAUGGUAUACAUCUUAAUAAUAUUGCCUUGGAAACAUUUUGAUAUAUUAAAGGAAUAUGUUCUAAGUUCGCUUACUACUUUCCUGUGUUUGACAGAAAGUAAGCAUUUUUAUUUAAAAGCAAUGCAUCUGAAGCUUAAUGGACAUACUCUACUCAUCUUCAUGCAGAAGAAAUCUUUCAGUAAUCUCUCUGCUUUAACAUAAAUAAAAAGUAUAUAUCCCACAGGCUCUGCA